CUAACAAGGAUUCCCCUAGUAACUGCGAGUGAAGCGGGAAAAGCUCAAAUUUAAAAUCUGGUAGUCUUUGGCUGCCCGAGUUGUAAUCUAGAGAAGUGCUAUCCGUGCUGGACCGUGUACAAGUCUCCUGGAAUGGAGCGUCAUAGAGGGUGAGAAUCCCGUCUUUGACACGGACUGCCAGGACUUUGUGAUGCGCUCUCAAAGAGUCGAGUUGUUUGGGAAUGCAGCUCUAAAUGGGUGGUAAAUUCCAUCUAAAGCUAAAUAUUGGCGAGAGACCGAUAGCGAACAAGUACCGUGAGGGAAAGAUGAAAAGAACUUUGGAAAGAGAGUUAAACAGUACGUGAAAUUGUUGAAAGGGAAACGCUUGAAGUCAGUCACGUUGGCCAGGGAUCAACCUUGCUCUUCUGCUUGGUGUACUUUCUGGUUGAUGGGUCAGCAUCAAUUUUGACCAGUGGAAAAAGGUCAAGGGAAUGUGGCAUCUUCGGAUGUGUUAUAGCCCUUGGUUGCAUACAUUGGUUGGGAUUGAGGAACUCAGCAUGCCGCAAGGCCGGGUAAUUUUUACCACGUUCGUGCUUAGGAUGCUGGCAUAAUGGCUUUAAUCGA
rnacentral:rRNA from 1 species